rnacentral:rRNA from 1 species
GACGAACGCUGGCGGCGUGCCUAAUACAUGCAAGUCGAACGCAGUGGGGACGGGUGAGUAACCCGUGGGUAACCUCCCAUCAGAGUGGAUAACACUUGGAAACAUGUGCUAAACCGAUACUGAUGGAUGGACCCGCUGUGCAUUAGCUAGUUGGUGAGGUAACGGCUCACCAAGGCCACGAUGCAUAGCCGACCUGAGAGGCGGAUGUGGCACACGGGAACUGUGAAAAGGCCAAGGCUCCUACGGGCGGCGGUCGGAGGGCAGGUUGGGGAAUGGACGAAAGUCUGAAGAAUCAAAGCCGCGUGAGGGAAGAGGGUUUUCGGAUCUUAAAACUCUGUUGUUAGAUAGACGGUAUCUAUCCAGAAAGCCACGGCUAACUACGUGCCAGCAGCCGCGGUAAUAC